rnacentral:rRNA from 1 species
CUCAAAUUUAUAAUCUGGCACCUUCGGUGUCCGAGUUGUAAUCUCUAGAAGUGUUUUCCGCGUUGGACCGCACACAAGUCUGUUGGAAUACAGCGGCAUAGUGGUGAGACCCCCGUAUAUGGUGCGGACGCCCAACGCUUUGUGAUACACUUUCGAAGAGUCGAGUUGUUUGGGAAUGCAGCUCAAAUUGGGUGGUAAAUUCCAUCUAAAGCUAAAUAUUGGCGAGAGACCGAUAGCGAACAAGUACCGUGAGGGAAAGAUGAAAAGCACUUUGGAAAGAGAGUUAACAGUACGUGAAAUUGUUGGAAGGGAAACGCUUGAAGUCAGACUUGCUUGCCGAGCAAUCGGUUUGCAGGCCAGCAUCAGUUUUCCGGGGUGGAUAAUGGUAGAGAGAAGGUAGCAGUUUCGGCUGUGUUAUAGCUCUCUGCUGGAUACACCUUGGGGGACUGAGGAACGCAGUGUGCCUUACGGCGGAUUUCUCGAGAUCUUCACACUUAGGAUGCUGGUGGAAUGGCUUUAAACGACCCGUCUU